UACGUAGGGUGCGAGCGUUGUCCGGAAUUAUUGGGCGUAAAGAGCUCGUAGGCGGUCUGUCGCGUCGAAUGUGAAAACCCGGGGCUCAACUCCGGGCUUGCAUUCGAUACGGGCAGGCUAGAGUUCGGUAGGGGAGUCUGGAAUUCCUGGUGUAGCGGUGAAAUGCGCAGAUAUCAGGAGGAACACCGGUGGCGAAGGCGGAUCUCUGGGCCGUAACUGACGCUGAGGAGCGAAAGCAUGGGGAGCGAACAGG
rnacentral:rRNA from 1 species